rnacentral:rRNA from 1 species
GUCCCAGACUCCUACGGGAGGCAGCAGUGAGGAAUAUUGGUCAAUGGGCGGAAGCCUGAACCAGCCAAGUCGCGUGAGGGAUGACGGCCCUACGGGUUGUAAACCUCUUUUGUCGGGGAGCAAAGAGAGUCACGUGUGACUCAUUGAGAGUACCCGAAGAAAAAGCAUCGGCUAACUCCGUGCCAGCAGCCGCGGUAAUACGGAGGAUGCGAGCGUUAUCCGGAUUUAUUGGGUUUAAAGGGUGCGCAGGCGGAAGCGCAAGUCAGCGGUAAAAUCGAGAGGCUCAACCUCUUUCCGCCGUUGAAACUGUCGGUCUUGAGUGGGCGAGAAGUAUGCGGAAUGCGUGGUGUAGCGGUGAAAUGCAUAGAUAUCACGCAGAACUCCGAUUGCGAAGGCAGCAUACCGGCGCCCGACUGACGCUGAGGCACGAAAGCGUGGAUAUCGAACAGGAUUAGAUACCCCGGUAA